rnacentral:misc_RNA from 1 species
GAUGAAGAACGCAGCGAAAUGCGAUAAGUAAUGUGAAUUGCAGAAUUCAGUGAAUCAUCGAAUCUUUGAACGCACCUUGCGCCCUUUGGCCAUUCCGAAGGGCAUGCCUGUUUGAGUAUCAUGAACACCUCAACUCUUUAUGGUUUUCCAUGAUGAGCUUGGACUUUGGGGGUUUUGCUGGCCUAUGGUCGGCUCCUCUAAAAUAAAUCAGCUUACCGGUGUUUGGUGGGUAUCAUGGGUGUGAUAACUAUCUACGCUUGUGGUUUUUCCACCAGGUAACCUUCGACAGCGGAGGUUCACUGGAGCUCAUAGAUGUCUCUCCUCAGCGAGGACAGCCCUUUGAAUGUUUGAUCUCAAAUCAGGUAGGACUACCCGCUGAACUUAAGCAUAUCAAUAAGCGGAAGA